GUCUCAAGUUGGGCCAGUUAUUGGUCGGCCAUUCCCUUUGUCUCUGCUCCAUCUUUGUCCCUGCAUUUCUUGACAGGACAAACUUCGGGUCAAAGUUUUGUGGAUGGGUUGGUGCCCAUCUACUGGGUCCUGCCAGGCUGGAAGAAGUUAUACUGUGGGACUUAGAAAAAUACAAUCAUCUGUGCCAGGAAGAUGGCUCAGUAGAUAAAGCAAAAUGCAAGUGGGAAGACCUGCAUUUGGAUCUCUAGAACCCAUGCAGAUGCUGGAUCAGCGGGAGUGCCUGCCUGUAAUUUCAGUGCUCAAGGCAGACAAAGAGUCCCCAGAACAAGCUGGCUACCUUGAUGAAAUAUAUAGGUGAACUCUGGUUUCAUCCGAUAGAUGCUACCUCGGUGAAUAAGUGUUUCAGUUUUGCUGUUCCUUAAAUAUCCUUGACAUCAUCAAUCCUUUGCUUGAUCUGUAUGUGGAAAAGAAGUAUUUCCUGACUCAUCACUCAGCUGCUGAUGUCAACAAGGGCAUAAGCUCAUGGUGGCAACCAUCUCACCCGGGCCAUACAUGAAGGACAGAAACAGUGUGCUCACAGAAGAAACACUACAUGUACACACAGUGCUUUAGUCAAACACUUGGGAAGUGGAUGGCUUACACACACAACCCCAUGUGCAACUUGUCAUGCACUGGCAGUCACACUCAAAAAGGGAUCCUCUGCAGGUGAACCACUUCAGAGAAGAUAUAGCUGCUGGUAAAUGGCUUUGGUUUCCAGACACAAUUUUCCAACUUCACAUUCACAGAUAAACAAAACAGAAGUGAUGGUUUGUAUAUGCUUGGCCCAGGGAGUGACACUAUUAGGAGGUGUUGGAGUAU